rnacentral:lncRNA from 1 species
AUGAAAUUAACUAUAGAGACACAAAGAAGCUGCAUUUUCUUGGCCCAUGAAGUCUACUUGGUACAAGUGGUUUGUGGCCAAAGAAAGUGGAGACGGCUUGAUUAUGUGCCAUCACCCAAAUUCACCAGCACUCUGAGAAGCAACAAGCUAUUCAGUGAUGAUGGUAAACACCACUCAUGAGGAAACCACUUCAAAAAACUAAGGUCAGUGUUCACAGGACAGUGUUACUGCAAAGCUCCAUACAGAAUAAAGAUUUCUUCUAAACAGAGGAGUGCUUGGCAGGGAAGGGAGGGCGCAAUUCCAGUGAGGAGUGUGGAGCAAAGGGCAGGGAUUUUGAGGACUGACUGCCCUGGAUUUCAACCUUACUUUCAGUAUCAGUUGGGAAAAGUCACUUCAGCUCUCUGCUCUCUUGCCUUCUCACAUAUCAAAUAGGAGUAAGGAUACAGACCUUUAAGAUUAUUAUGGGUAUUAAAGUAAGUAAAAAUAUUAGCUAAAGUGCAAAGUUCAGAUCAGAUUUGAGGGGACUUUAUUCAUUGGUGGUUGUUCAGCUGCUAAAUCAUGUCCAACUCUUUGUGACCCCAUGAACUGCAGCAUACCAGGCUUCCCNNNNNNNNNNNNUCU